GUCGAAACUUUAAGAAAAGCUUUAAUCAGUUUAGCUGCAUUGUUUGACUUUGAAGCUAAGCCGACUGGGAACUUGGCGGCAACUUCAUUGCGAGUCAGCCAGGUCAGCACCGAAGAUGGAAAGGCUUUUCCCGCAAAACCCCCUGUCUUGCCACGCUCUUUUCCGCUUUUUGUUAACAACAAAGGCAGCGCGGCAGCAAAUGAAGAGGCUGGCUGGUAGUCGGAAAGAAAGAAAGGAAAACAUUGCAAAGGAAAUCGAGGAGGGCAUUGUGCGAGUCGACUGAAACUGCAGUAUUUUACCUUGGACUGCAGGCAAGCAUGAGAAUUUAAUGAGCAGCAUGCAGGAGCUUUGAAGUUGAAGUUUCCACUGCCAGUCCCGAGUUUGAACUGUUUAAGGCUUGAUCGCGUUAUUGGCAAGAUGCUCGAUGGAUACCAGAAUCAAAUGGUCUGUUUUGGGCAAUUAUAUAUUCACAGAGGGCCCAUUUUAUUGCCCAAUAA